UCACCGAAAACCUCAUAGAUUGCCAACCACCAAGUGUGGUCUGUUUAGACCCUAUGGUGUUUUUUUGGCUGCCCUUGGUCGGUCUAGCGAAACAAACUGUUCAUUCUUGAAACCCAAGCCCCCCUAUACACCUUCAGUUUUGACAUCUUGUUUCACUGGAGGCUUUGUAGGAGCACGUUUCAGUUUGAUCUUACCCUGAACAGGCAUUUGUUUAUUAUCUUAUUGUCCCAGUAGCUGACACUGGGCAUCUCCUCUAGAUUUACACGUUAUUUGUUUAUAUCUUUAUGUAGGUUGGGCCGGCCUGCAGGCAUUUUACUACCAGUGCCGCCACAACGGGAUCUGGUAUCAAGAUCACGAUGUAAAAACGUUUGGAAUUUUUAGUUACAUGUGCAGUAAGAUACUUCUUGUCCGCUCUGUGAGACGUUCCUUGAGUAUCUGUGUGAAACAUAUUGGUGGAAAAUUCAACAAAGUGCUGGAGUCCUCUGAUUAGUAUCGACGGCGUGCCCCUCGGCUUCCUCAGCUAGUUAUUGCAGCUACUGCUGGAGGGGUUCUUUCACAAAAGCAAAGAGCGGCACAGAUGGAAUUCCCUCCCUGGAUUACCGAUCGAAAAAUGAUUUCAGUUCACGGACUGUCAGAUUUAACAGUCGCAGGGCCGAUCACACGAAUGAGCAUGCAUGUAUCCUUGCUUUUUCAACAUGUACUCAUCAGUGAAUCAAUAUUUUUCUCUCUCUGACGGAUUAUGACAGGCCCUGUGUGUCGCAUUGUAUUGGUUACAUUCCUGCUUUUUUUUCAUUAAGUAACCGUUGAGGGCAAAAAAUUUCAGCUGUCAGGCCGGAGUAUCAAGAGACAUUA